AUCUAGAUGAAGACUCGUAUAAUAUACACUAACUUUGACUUGACUAAAUGUCUGCGGCAAAAGAUAAAAGGUUAAAAGGAGACUUCAU